rnacentral:rRNA from 1 species
AGCGAACGCUGGCGGCAGGCCUAACACAUGCAAGUCGAGCGCCCCGCAAGGGGAGCGGCAGACGGGAGAGUAACACGUGGGAACGUACCCUUCAGUUCGGAACAACCAAGGGAAACUUUGGCUAAUACCGAAUACGUCCGUAAGGAGAAAGAUUUAUCGCUGAAGGAUCGGCCCGCGUCUGAUUAGCUAGUUGGUGGGGUAACGGCCCACCAAGGCGACGAUCAGUAGCUGGUCUGAGAGGAUGAUCAGCCUCACUGGGACUGAGACACGGCCCAGACUCCGACGGGAGGCAGCAGUGGGGAAUAUUGGACAAUGGGCGCAAGCCUGAUCCAGCCAUGCCGCGUGGAUGAUGAAGGCCCUAGGGUUGUAAAGUCCUUUCGGCGGGGAAGAUAAUGACGGUACCCGCAGAAGAAGCCCCGGCUAACUUCGUGCCAGCCGCCGCCGUAA